rnacentral:rRNA from 1 species
AUGUGUGUCUCACCGGGAGAACAAAGCAAAGCUGGUUCCUCCCACGGUGAGGUGUGUGUGUGUGUAGAGUUUCAUGUGUAUGUGUGUGUUCUUGUGUUCUUGAGAGAAGAAGAUAGAGAGAAACCACAAGAGAGUUUUGUGAGGGAGCUCGAGGUAGAAGAAGAAGCGGCGCUGCAAGGGAGGCGGCGCCAACAAUUGGCAUCAGAGCCUUGUCGAUCCGAGGCGACGACGGCAGCGCGGCCUACUCCAUGUGAGGUGGAGGACGGCGGCGCAAGGUGGGUGGCCGUCGGCGGCGCGAUGCUGCCGGUGGCCGGUUGCGGUGUGAUGCCGCUAGAUGAUGGCGGUGCGAAGCUGCCACAAGACGACGGUGUGACGCCGAUGGGAGGUACGACGACACGAGGCCGUUAUGAGGAGAAGACGGCGUGGCGAUCGGCGCCGCGAAGGCGUCGUCCACGUGAAGACAUGGCCGCUGCAUGCGGCAAGAGGUCGUGGUACUCGGCGCCGCGACAGCGUCGUCCACGGCAAGACGGCGCAAGGUGGGCGCUGUUGGCGGCACGAUGGCGUUGA